rnacentral:rRNA from 1 species
CACCAGCGCCACGAGUGGCAAUCGCGAUUAUUGGGCCUAAAGCGUCCGUAGUCUGGCUUGUACAUCUUCUGUGAAAUCGUUGCGCUUAACGUAACGGCAUGCGGGAGACACGGCAAGCCUUGAGACCGGGAGGCGUCGAGGGUACUCUUAGGGGACCGGUAAAAUGGUAUAAUCCGUAAGAAGACCACCUGUGGCGAAGGC